GAUGAACGCUGGCGGCGUGCCUAAUACAUGCAAGUCGAGCGAACAGACGAGGAGCUUGCUCCUCUGACGUUAGCGGCGGACGGGUGAGUAACACGUGGAUAACCUACCUAUAAGACUGGGAUAACUUCGGGAAACCGGAGCUAAUACCGGAUAAUAUAUUGAACCGCAUGGUUCAAUAGUGAAAGACGGUUUUGCUGUCACUUAUAGAUGGAUCCGCGCCGCAUUAGCUAGUUGGUAAGGUAACGGCUUACCAAGGUAACGAUGCGUAGCCGACCUGAGAGGGUGAUCGGCCACCCUGGAACUGAGACACGGUCCAGACUCCUACGGGAGGCAGCAGUAGGGAAUCUUCCGCAAUGGGCGAAAGCCUGACGGAGCAACGCCGCGUGAGUGAUGAAGGUCUUCGGAUCGUAAAACUCUGUUAUUAGGGAAGAACAAAUGUGUAAGUAACUAUGCACGUCUUGACGGUACCUAAUCAGAAAGCCACGGCUAACUACGUG
rnacentral:rRNA from 1 species